rnacentral:rRNA from 1 species
AUUGAACGCUGGCGGCAGGCCUAACACAUGCAAGUCGAGCGAGCGGCGGACGGGUGAGUAAUGUAUGGGGCCUGCCCGAUAGAGGGGGAUAACUACUGGAAACGGUGGCUAAUACCGCAUAAUAUCGGAUAACCCCUAUGGGAUUAGCUAGUAGGUGGGGUAAAGGGUCACCUAGGCGACGAUCUCUAGCUGGUCUGAGGGGCUGAUCGGCCAAACUGGGACUGUGACACGGCCCAUACUCCUACGGAGUCAGCAGGGGGGAAUAGUGCGCAAUUGGCGCAAGCCUGAUGCAGCCAUGCCGCGUGUAUGAAGAGGGCCUUAGGGUUUUAGAGUACUUACAGCGGGUAGGGGUUACCCGCAGAAGAAGCACCGGCUAACUCCGUGCCAGCAGCCGCGGUAAUAC